AAUGAACGCUGGCGGUAUGCCUAACACAUGCAAGUCGAACGGGAGCACAGGGAGAGGUUGCUCUUACGGGCGGCGAGUGGCGGACGGGGGAGGAAUACAUCGGAAUCUACUUUGUAGGGGGGGAUAACGUAGGGAAAUUUACGCUAAUACCGCAUACAACGUACGGGUUAAGGCCGGGGAUGGACUCACCUGUCGCUAGGGAAUUAGCCGAUGUAGGAUUAGCUAGUUGGCGGGGUAGAGGCACUGGCAGGCGACGACCCGUAGCUGAUCUGACAGGGUGAUCACACACAGGGUAACAGAGACACGGCCCAGACUCCAACGGGAGGACGCAGCGGGGAAUAAUGGACAAGGGGAGCAAGGCAGAUACAGCAAUACCGGGUGGGUGAUGAAGGAGUUAGGGUUGGAAAGCAAUGUGGUCGGGAAAGUAGAACAGCUGGUUUAUCCAGGGCUGUAAUGACGGUACCCAAAGAAUAAGCACCGGCUAACUUCGUG
rnacentral:rRNA from 1 species